GGAAGCCAGAAUUACUUGCAGGAGUAACCUAGUGCCUAUAGCUAUGGCAGGUACCUGCAUCCUUGUUUUUGUUUAGUGGAUCCUCUAUCCUUCAGAGACUCUGGAACCCCUGUGCUCUUCUCCUCAUCUAGUGACCCUGAGGUGAUGGAGUUUUCAAGUCCUUCCAGAGAGGAAUGUCCCAAGCCUUCGGGUAGGGUAAGCAUCAUGGCUGGCAGCCUCACAGGAUUGCUUCUACUUCAGGCAGUGUCGUGGGCAUCAGAUGAGUGCCUUCAGCCGCUACAAGAGCAGAAGCAGUGGGCAUUGGAUGGAGCUGAGUACAGGACCAUACAGGCUAAUUGCACCGGCACAGGUAACCAUUACACCCUUCACCCCCCGGGCCAGGCUGGGUCCUCCUAGAGGUAAACGGUGUCAGUGAUCACCAUGGAGUUUCUCCCCUGGGCACUGAUAACCCUGUGGAUGUCCUCAGGCCUGCUACUGAUCCUGCAGCCAGAAGUUCCAGAAAGUGAAGGGAUUUGGAGGGGCCGUGACAGAUGCAGGUGCCCUCAACAUCCUUGCCCUGUCACCCCCUGCCCAGAAUUUGCUACUUAAAUGGUACUUCUCUGAAGAAGAUGAGGAGGAAGGGGACAGGAUGACAUAGAGCCACUGACACUUUUCUUUGCCAAUUCUUUGGACCCUGACUUCUGCCCAUCCCUGACAUUUGGUUCCUGUCUUAAUGCCAGUGAAAUAAGAUUUCGCCGCCUAUCAUCUGCUAACUGCUACGGACUCAGGCUCAGAAAGGCCUGCGCUUCACCCAGGUGCCAGCCUCCACAGGUUCCAACCCAGGAGCCCAAGUUCCUUUUGGCCCUGACUCAGACACUAUUAGGACUGGCAAGUGAUAAGCAGAGUCCCAUACUCUCCUAUUGACUCGGACUACCAUAUCUUGAUCAUCCUUUUCUGUAGGAAUCGGAUAUAACAUCAUCUGGGUACCCAUGGCCAGCUGUGACUUCUCCAUCCGCACCUACACCUAUGCAGACACCCCUGAUGAUUUCCAGUUGCACAACUUCAGCCUCCCAGAGGAAGAUACCAAGCUCAAGAUACCCCUGAUUCACCGAGCCCUGCAGUUGGCCCAGCGUCCCGUUUCACUCCUUGCCAGCCCCUGGACAUCACCCACUCGGCUCAAGACCAGGGGAGCGGGGAAUGGGAAGGGGCCACUCAAGGGACAGCCCAGAGACAUCUACCACCAGACCUGGGCCAGAUACAUUGUGAAGUUCCUGGAUGCCUAUGCUGAGCACAAGUUACAGUUCUGGGCAGUGACAGCUGAAAAUGAGCCUUCUGCUGGGCUGUUGAGUGGAUACCCCUUCCAGUGCCUGGGCUUCACCCCUGAACAUCAGCGAGACUUCAUUGCCCGUGACCUAGGUCCUACCCUUGCCAACGGUACUCACCACAAUGUCCGCCUACUCAUGCUGGAUGACCAACGCUUGCUGCUGCCCCACUGGGCAAAGGUGGUACUGACAGACCCAGAAGCAGCUAAAGGCCUGUGUGGGUUCCAAGUUCUGGGAGCAGAGUGUGCGGCUAGGCUCCUGGGAUCGAGGGAUGCAGUACAGCCACAGCAUCAUCACAGUCUGCACACCUCAUUGCCCCUUUUGCAACUACUGAGGCACUUGCAGCUGCCUCAGACUUCUCAGCUCCCCUUGAGAUGCCUGGAUCUUCACACCCCCAACUCCUUAGCUACUAAGGAAUGUGCCCCUCACAGGGCUGACCUACCCACAGCUGCCUCUCCCACACGUGACCCUUACCUACACUCUCUGGGGACCCCCAGUGUUGCGCCUUUGUCUCCUUGCCUUUGUCCUUACCCUAGAACCUCCUGUACCAUGUGGUCGGCUGGACCGACUGGAACCCAUCAUUGUAGACAUCACCAAGCACACGUUUUACAAACAGCCCAUGUUCUACCACCUUGGCCACUUCAGCAAGUUCAUUCCUGAGGGCUCCCAGAGAGUGGGGCUGGUUGCCAGUCAGAAGAACGACCCGGACGCAGUGGCACUGAUGCAUCCCGAUGGCUCUGCUGUUGUGGUCGUGCUAAACCGCUCCUCUAAGGAUGUGCCUCUUACCAUCAAGGAUCCUGCUGUGGGCUUCCUGGAGACAAUCUCACCUGGCUACUCCAUUCACACCUACCUGUGGCGUCGCCAGUGAUGGAGCAGAUACUCAAGGAGGCACUGGGCUCAGCCUGGGCAUUAAAGGGACAGAGUCAGCUCACACGCUGUCUGUGACUAAAGAGGGCACAGCAGGGCCAGUGUGAGCUUACAGCGACGUAAGCCCAGGGGCAAUGGUUUGGGUGACUCACUUUCCCCUCUAGGUGGUGCCAGGGGCUGGAGGCCCCUAGAAAAAGAUCAGUAAGCCCCAGUGUCCCCCCAGCCCCCAUGCUUAUGUGAACAUGCGCUGUGUGCUGCUUGCUUUGGAAACUGGGCCUGGGUCCAGGCCUAGGGUGAGCUCACUGUCCGUACAAACACAAGAUCAGGGCUGAGGGUAAGGAAAAGAAGAGACUAGGAAAGCUGGGCCCAAAACUGGAGACUGUUUGUCUUUCCUGGAGAUGCAGAACUGGGCCCGUGGAGCAGCAGUGUCAGCAUCAGGGCGGAAGCCUUAAAGCAGCAGCGGGUGUGCCCAGGCACCCAGAUGAUUCCUAUGGCACCAGCCAGGAAAAAUGGCAGCUCUUAAAGGAGAAAAUGUUUGAGCCC
ensembl:lncRNA GBA1LP glucosylceramidase beta 1 like, pseudogene